UCGAGCGGUAGCACAGGAGAGCUUGCUCUCCGGGUGACGAGCGGCGGACGGGUGAGUAAUGUCUGGGAAACUGCCUGAUGGAGGGGGAUAACUACUGGAAACGGUAGCUAAUACCGCAUAACGUCUUCGGACCAAAGUGGGGGACCUUCGGGCCUCACGCCAUCAGAUGUGCCCAGAUGGGAUUAGCUAGUAGGUGGGGUAAUGGCUCACCUAGGCGACGAUCCCUAGCUGGUCUGAGAGGAUGACCAGCCACACUGGAACUGAGACACGGUCCAGACUCCUACGGGAGGCAGCAGUGGGGAAUAUUGCACAAUGGGCGCAAGCCUGAUGCAGCCAUGCCGCGUGUGUGAAGAAGGCCUUCGGGUUGUAAAGCACUUUCAGCGAGGAGGAAGGGUGGUGUGUUAAUAGCGCAUCACAUUGACGUUACUCGCAGAAGAAGCACCGGCUAACUCCGUGCCAGCAGCCGCGGUAAUACGGAGGGUGCAAGCGUUAAUCGGAAUUACUGGGCGUAAAGCGCACGCAGGCGGUUUGUUAAGUCAGAUGUGAAAUCCCCGCGCUUAACGUGGGAACUGCAUUUGAAACUGGCAAGCUAGAGUCUUGUAGAGGGGGGUAGAAUUCCAGGUGUAGCGGUGAAAUGCGUAGAGAUCUGGGAGGAAUACCGGUGGCGAA
rnacentral:rRNA from 1 species